GCCCACUUGGCGCAGUGGUACCGCGUAGCACUCGUAAUGCUAAGAUCACUGGUUCGAUUCCAGUAGUGGGCA
rnacentral:tRNA from 1 species